AACUUAUCCAGAGAAGCGGAGGGACUGGCCCUAUGAAGCUUCGGCAACAGGCUACGGCACUGUGCCAAUUCCAGUAACUGAUACGGUCUUCGUAUCGGUUAGAAGAUAAGAU
rfam:Staphylococcus sp. HGB0015 genomic scaffold aczIz-supercont1.1, whole genome shotgun sequence.